rnacentral:rRNA from 1 species
UACGAAGGGGGCUAGCGUUGUUCGGAUUUACUGGGCGUAAAGCGCACGUAGGCGGAUCGUUAAGUCGGGGGUGAAAUCCUGGAGCUCAACUCCAGAACUGCCUUCGAUACUGGCGAUCUCGAGUCCGGAAGAGGUGAGUGGAACUCCUAGUGUAGAGGUGGAAUUCGUAGAUAUCAGGAGGAACACCGAUGGCGAAGGCAGCUCGCUGGGACGGUACUGACGCUGAGGCGCGAAAGCGUGGGGAGCGAACAGG